rnacentral:misc_RNA from 1 species
GAACGAGAAUAAAUGCAUUUUUUUUAUAUAAAAUUCAUUUGCUAAAAAAUCUACUACUAAUGAAUUAAGGAUUUUCUUUCAUUCAUCAUCAUGUUAUUUAUGAGGCAAAGAAUAAAAUGAAAACAUAUAAUAACCAGAAAGAGAAUCAAGUAAAAACAAAAAGAUUAGUCAAUUUCAGCCUUCUAUGGAACUAAUUUGUUGGGCCUUUUUAAUGUCCAUAUUUUUAUUCUUUGAUGUUAUAUUCUUUAGAUGACAAAAUGGACUAUAUGAUGAAAGGCACCAAUGGUAAGAAAGCUAGAAAAGAUUAUAAUACCAGUGCAAC